UGGCACAGUGAAUCCACAGCAUAGAGAAGAGCAGCAGGAGACACACAAAAACAGAACAUACACCAUUUUCAUAAUGAGAAAUGACUAGAUGGAGAAAAAACUACCUACAAUCUCUGGAGGAGAGGAGACACGGAGGUACUCCAGCCUUUUAGAGGGGAAGUCUGAGAAGCUCUGAAACUUGAGGUGCCUACAAAGACAACUCAGCUGUUGUUGCCAAGGAACUAACAUGUCUGAGUUCUGGUAUCAGUAUCACUGGCUCCUGCUCAAAUAGCACAAACGAAAGAUGUAAAGUCAUUAGAGAAAAAGAACAGUUUGGUUUGAUCACUUGCACUGAGGUAAGCAUUCUGCCAUAUUCUGAGCAACUUUAAGGGAAUACCUACGUUGUGUGGUGAGGAACCGAGGGCCUCAGACCAACAAUGCAGAGAAACUGAAGCCUGCUAACAACCAGGUGCUGCUGAUCUAGAAGUCUUAAUUCCAAAAAGAAAAAUGCUUCCUCCAGGCACAUAACAAUGGGUCCACUGAAUUAAAGGCUGAGACUGUCACCUGACCAUUUUGGGCUCCUAAUGCUAUUGAGUCAACAGCAAUCUUCCGGGUUCUGUACGGUGGUGGAAGCAGCAGCCCAUUGAGCCAGAGACCAACACUUCUGGGCAUAUGGAACCCAAGAGCGGAAAGCUUGCUGCGUUUCUCGGAAACUUCAGCUAAGGAAGGGCAGCCUCUGGAAAGUGAAGAAAUGGCACACUCACGGGAUGAGGCGGGAAAUGCCAUAGAGCCGGGGAGUCCAGCACCUGCCUAGGCCACACUGUGUACCGGAAGCAGUUUGCGUCCCCGAAUAAACUUAGAUACAAGUCCAGUAAAAACCAGAGUCCUCAUCAUCACCCAACAAGGGAGGUACUAUUGUCUUUGUUUAAUGGAUGAAGACACUAAACCUGCAAGGGUAAGAGUCUUGCCACAAGUGGGUCACAAAUCUAAGAAGUGGAUCACAUAUCUAAGAAGUGGAUCACAUAUAGAUUGUAAAGGCAGAGACACAGAGGGAGAGCACUAUGUGAUGUUGAAAGCAGAGAUUGGAGUUAUGCAGUUUUGAGACAAAGUGAAAGGGGAGUAAAAAGCAACCAGAGAAAAGAAGCAGAUGGGGAAACCGCUUGUGAGAAUGCCUUGUUCUGCAAAACCUUAUCACAGGGGCAGCAAGGGGAGCUGCCUUCUAUGUGACCUUACCUGAGUAGUUCCCAAAUCCUUGUUCUUGGACAUGGGAGGGCUGGAUGCCCAAAAAUCUCCUGAGGAACAUGAAUUACAAAACCCAAGAAAAACAGAACCCCUGGCUUCACUCUGAUUUGGAGGGAUAAAGUGGGGUGUAGCAGGGUUAGCAAGUCUUAGUCCAAUGGACCAGUGUCUUAGUCUAUUUUGGGCUGCUAUCAUAGAAUACUCGACCCUGGCUAAUUUAUGCAGAACAGAGAUUCGUUUCUUACAGUUCUGCAGACUGGGAAGUUCAAGGGUGAGGAGCCUGCAUCUUCUAAGGAACUUCUCGCUACAUCUUUGGAUGGUAGAAGCAGAAGACAAG
rnacentral:lncRNA from 1 species